rnacentral:rRNA from 1 species
CCAUCACUACGCUAGAUGCAUAUCAAUAAGCGGAGGAAAAGAAACUAACAAGGAUUCCCUUAGUAACGGCGAGUGAAGCGGGAAGAGCUCAAAUUUGAAAUCUUCAAGGUUCUACCUUGACGAAUUGUAGUUUAUAGAAGUGUUUUCUGUUAGUGGAGUGGCAAAAGUUCUUUGGGAUAGGACAUCAUAGAGGGUGAGAAUCCCGUAUUUGGUCAUUCCUCCUAGCGUUGUGAUACACUUUCAACGAGUCGGAUUGUUUGGGAAAUGCAGUCCAAAAUGGGUGGUAAAUUUCAUCUAAAGCUAAAUAUUGGUGAGAGACCGAUAGCGAACAAGUACCGUGAGGGAAAGAUGAAAAGAACUUUGAAAAGAGAGUUAAACAGUACGUGAAAUUGUCAAAAGGGAAGCGUUUGACACCAGUGUUGUUUUCUCGAAAAUCAAUUAAAAAUGAUGGGAUUUUGUGUUGUAUUGACCUUUAUCAAGCUUUCUUCACUUUUUCUUAGUCUUUUUUAAUGCACUUUUCGUUUAACAAGUCAACAUCAAUUUCUUUUGUUGUAAAAGAGUCAUUGGAAGGUGGCUUUUUCUUCGGAAAAAGUGUUUAUAGCCUUUGGCUUCUGCAAUCGGAGAGAUUGAGGUCUGCAGCGUAGAUCCUUCGGGGUUAGAUACAUUUGUGCUAAGCUAUAGUUCUUUAUAGACAAUUUGUUGACUAUAAUCAAUCCUGUAACUUACUCGCUUAUGCUAUUUUACCUACGCUUAGGAUGUUGACACACGCGCGUGCUCG